GGGUUCAAAACUGAGUUUAAGUUUUCCAAAGGUUCAAAAGAGAUUUUUUUCAGAAAAAGAGCCAAAUUGUACAAAAAUUGGGUCGGCUCCACCGGCGUCGGCAGCGCCGCGACCGCGACGAACACAAGGUGCCAACCCCGCGUGUCCCCGCCCCACUUCCUCAACCACGGCCAGGUUCUUCCUUGUCUUCUCCGCGGUCCCCGCCAGUUUGGCUUCGGCUCCGACCUGCCAGCGCCGGCCAAUGGGGGUUGGUUCGCCCGAGGUGAGCGCUCUCUCCAUUUCCCCCGCUCUUCGCAUUCCGCAUUGCACCCUCACACCAAAACCCUGAACCCAUGAUGCAACUGUAAUGGAGAUUGAUUCGGUCUAGUGAAUUCUCCAGAAUCACCCCACCCCCGUCCCCCGCUGCCAUUCUAAUCGCCCGCCGCUGCUUAGUGCGUACCCACUUCACCUUUUGAGCUAAUCACUUGGGCAACAGUAUCCUCAAGUUUGGGUAUCUAUAUUCAGAAGAAGAAUUUACCCCUUCUUCGGUAGAGUUCGUUGUUCAUUUUUCUGGCAAUGCUCAUGGACCAGAUGACUGUGCACCUGCCCCCAAAUGAAUUUGGGUAGCUGGGUCGAACCAAUCAGCAAAAAAUAAAGCAUAUGCUAUAUGAAUUGCUGUUUUUGUACACCUCGGUUUGGCUUUCGAGUCUGUGUUCUCUUUCAGUUAUCGAUUAGUCGGACUUCAAUCGUUUUUCAACACAAAUUUCUUAUGGAACCAAUGUUUUCUUUUCUCUGCGUCCCAGAAAAUAUUGUUAUUCAAGACUUUUACAUUCAGAUGAUUGGUUGACAACCCGCCGAAACCACAUUUCGAUGGAAAGAAGGAGAUAAUCCUGGAUCUACUCCGACCAUGGCAAAUAUUUUCCCAAGCUUCCUGGGCCUUUCUGUCAUUUCUGGUGAACUCAUCAAUUGUGUCGCCUUGGCCAUCAAUGGGGAGCAGAGAUGAAUCACUUCUCCAUUUACACUGGGGUCCGCUCAUCACUUGUUGUGGACGCUUUAAUUGAAAAGCAGUACAUCAGGAACAAGAAGAAGGCACCAGC
rnacentral:lncRNA from 1 species